UACGUAGGGGGCAAGCGUUGUCCGGAUUAUUGGGCGUAAAGAGCGUGUAGGCGGCCAGACAGGUCAGCUGUGAAAACUCGAGGCUCAACCUCGAGACGUCGGUUGAAACCGUCUGGCUAGAGUCCGGAAGAGGAGAGUGGAAUUCCCGGGUGUAGCGGUGAAAUGCGCAGAUAUCGGGAAGAACACCCGUGGCGAAGGCGGCUCUCGUGGGACGGUACUGACGCUGAGACGCGAAAGCGUGGGGAGCGAACGAG
rnacentral:rRNA from 1 species